CAACUUUCAGCAACGGAUCUCUUGGCUCUCGCAUCGAUGAAGAACGCAGCGAAAUGCGAUAAGUAAUGUGAAUUGCAGAUUUCAGUGAAUCAUCGAAUCUUUGAACGCACCUUGCGCUCCUUGGUAUUCCGAGGAGCAUGCCUGUUUGAGUGUCGUGG
rnacentral:rRNA from 1 species